AUGAAAAUAGCCAUAAGGAAGCAGUAAGAGGUGAAUUCUCCAAAUGCAAAACCUUCCCCAGCUGAGACGAGUUUAAUUGAGGAUCAUCCUCCUGAACCCUCUUUGGAGAUUCUGAAAUUGUGCACUUCUAUACACAGGGAACAUAAGACGUGCAACUGGUGCACUUGGCUGGCUUCAGUGGACCUUGGAUCAGACCUUGGGCAUGAGUUACGUAGGCAUUCCGUAGUUGCAGGAAGCACUCAAGCCUUAAUCUGGACCACUUGUCAGGCAGUGAAAGGGAAAAACAAUUCAGGCAGCAAUCCUCUUGAAAAACCAUACAUGGGUUUUCGAAAGAGCUCAGCAGGUCUGCAAAUGCUGUAGGAAGCUUUAAAAUCCCUAGUUUGAGAUGGGCCAAUGAGGCUUUGUUGUUGAUGCCCCAAGGGAAAAGCUAAAUGCAGCGCUCAUCACAGUGUGAAUGCGUAUCAAGAAUAAACUGAGAUUUUGCAUGGUUUGAUCUGUACAUCCUUUUCCUGCCUCCUUCUGCAGUUUUAGUGGAAAUUAAACUGCUUAGAAGCCUUACAAACCUUAGAAACAUGUUGGUUCUCAGACUGUAACAGGUAUCUCCAAGGUCUUCAAGACUGAAU